AAGAAUGUUAUCACGGGAGACACACGGCGGGUGCUAACGUCCGUCGUGAAGAGGGAAACAACCCAGACCGCCAGCUAAGGUCCCAAAGUCAUGGUUAAGUGGGAAACGAUGUGGGAAGGCACAGACAGCCAGGAUGUUGGCUUAGAAGCAGCCAUCAUUUAAAGAAAGCGUAAUAGCUCACUGGUCGAGUCGGCCUGCGCGGAAGAUGUAACGGGGCUAAACCAUGCACCGAAGCUGCGGCAGCGACACUAUGUGUUGUUGGGUAGGGGAGCGUUCUGUAAGCCUGCGAAGGUGGCCUGUGAGGGCUGCUGGAGGUAUCAGAAGUGCGAAUGCUGACAUAAGUAACGAUAAAGCGGGUGAAAAGCCCGCUCGCCGGAAGACCAAGGGUUCCUGUCCAACGUUAAUCGGGGCAGGGUGAGUCGACCCCUAAGGCGAGGCCGAAAGGCGUAGUCGAUGGGAAACAGGUUAAUAUUCCUGUACUUGGUGUUACUGCGAAGGGGGGACGGAGAAGGCUAUGUUAGCCGGGCGACGGUUGUCCCGGUUUAAGCAUGUAGGCGGAGGUUCCAGGUAAAUCCGGUACCUUUUAACGCUGAGGUGUGAUGACGAGGCACUACGGUGCUGAAGUAACAAAUGCCCUGCUUCCAGGAAAAGCCUCUAAGCAUCAGGUAACAUUAAAUCGUACCCCAAACCGACACAGGUGGUCAGGUAGAGAAUACCAAGGCGCUUGAGAGAACUCGGGUGAAGGAACUAGGCAAAAUGGUGCCGUAACUUCGGGAGAAGGCACGCUGGUGUGUAGGUGAAGUCCCUGCGGACGGAGCUGAGACCAGUCGAAGAUACCAGCUGGCUGCAACUGUUUAUUAAAAACACAGCACUGUGCAAACACGAAAGUGGACGUAUACGGUGUGACGCCUGCCCGGUGCCGGAAGGUUAAUUGAUGGGGUUAUCCGUAAGGAGAAGCUCUUGAUCGAAGCCCCGGUAAACGGCGGCCGUAACUAUAACGGUCCUAAGGUAGCGAAAUUCCUUGUCGGGUAAGUUCCGACCUGCACGAAUGGCGUAAUGAUGGCCAGGCUGUCUCCACCCGAGACUCAGUGAAAUUGAACUCGCUGUGAAGAUGCAGUGUACCCGCGGCAAGACGGAAAGACCCCGUGAACCUUUACUAUAGCUUGACACUGAACAUUGAGCCUUGAUGUGUAGGAUAGGUGGGAGGCUUUGAAGCGUGGACGCCAGUCUGCGUGGAGCCAACCUUGAAAUACCACCCUUUAAUGUUUGAUGUUCUAACGUAGGCCCCUUAUCGGGGUUGCGGACAGUGUCUGGUGGGUAGUUUGACUGGGGCGGUCUCCUCCCAAAGAGUAACGGAGGAGCACGAAGGUUAGCUAAUCCUGGUCGGACAUCAGGAGGUUAGUGCAAUGGCAUAAGCUAGCUUGACUGCGAGCGUGACGGCGCGAGCAGGUGCGAAAGCAGGUCAUAGUGAUCCGGUGGUUCUGAAUGGAAGGGCCAUCGCUCAACGGAUAAAAGGUACUCCGGGGAUAACAGGCUGAUACCGCCCAAGAGUUCAUAUCGACGGCGGUGUUUGGCACCUCGAUGUCGGCUCAUCACAUCCUGGGGCUGAAGUAGGUCCCAAGGGUAUGGCUGUUCGCCAUUUAAAGUGGUACGCGAGCUGGGUUUAGAACGUCGUGAGACAGUUCGGUCCCUAUCUGCCGUGGGCGCUGGAGAAUUGAGGGGGGCUGCUCCUAGUACGAGAGGACCGGAGUGGACGCAUCACUGGUGUUCGGGUUGUCAUGCCAAUGGCACUGCCCGGUAGCUAAAUGCGGAAGAGAUAAGUGCUGAAAGCAUCUAAGCACGAAACUUGCCCCGAGAUGAGUUCUCCCUGAGACUUUAAGUCUCCUGAAGGAACGUUGAAGACGACGACGUUGAUAGGCCGGGUGUGUAAGCGCAGCGAUGCGUUGAGCUAACCGGUACUAAUGAACCGUGAGGCUUAACCUU
rnacentral:rRNA from 2 species